CUCUGGGCCCUUCGGGCAGAUCUUCCGGCCGGACAACUUCGUCUUCGGUCAGAGUGGUGCCGGCAACAACUGGGCCAAGGGGCACUACACGGAGGGCGCCGAGCUCGUGGACUCCGUCCUGGACGUCGUGCGGAAGGAGGCUGAGAGCUGCGACUGCCUGCAGGGGCACCUACUACCGGAAGCGUGAGAACUCUUUAUUCACUCUCAGUCUGUCCUCAUGAUCCUGUCUCACUGUGUGCACUGCUCUUCUUCCUGUCUUGACAUCUGAGUUGUACAGACACCAUUAAAGCAUUUUCAUAGUG